AUUGCCCCAGUAACGGCGAGUGAAGCGGCAACAGCUCAAAUUUGAAAUCUGGCCCCAGGCCCGAGUUGUAAUUUGCAGAGGAUGUUUCUGGCGACGCGCCUUCCGAGUUCCUUGGAACAGGACGCCAAAGAGGGUGAGAGCCCCGUCCGGUCGUGCGCCUAGCCUAUGUGAAACUCCUUCGACGAGUCGAGUAGUUUGGGAAUGCUGCUCUAAAUGGGAGGUAUACGUCUUCUAAAGCUAAAUACCGGCCAGAGACCGAUAGCGCACAAGUAGAGUGAUCGAAAGAUGAAAAGCACUUUGAAAAGAGGGUUAAAUAGUACGUGAAAUUGCUGAAAGGGAAGCGCUUAUGACCAGACUUGGGGCGGUUAAUCAUCCGGCGUUCUCGCCGGUGCACUUUGCCGUCUCAGGCCAGCAUCAGUUUGCUUCGGGGGAUAAAGGCUUCGGGAAUGUGGCUCCCUCGGGAGUGUUAUAGCCCGUUGCGUAAUACCCUGGAGCGGACUGAGGUACGCGUUCGCAAGGAUGCUGGCGUAAUGGUCAUCAGUGACCCGUCUUGAAACACGGACCAAGGAGUCGUCUUCGUAUGCGAGUGUUCGGGUGUCAAACCCCUACGCGUAAUGAAAGUGAACGUAGGAGAGAGCUUCGGCGCAUCUCCGACCGAUCCUGAUGUUCUCGGAUGGAUUUGAGUAAGAGCAUACGGGGCCGGACCCGAAAGAAGGUGAACUAUGCCUGUGUAGGGUGAAGCCAGGGGAAACUCUGGUGGAGGCUCGCAGCGGUUCUGACGUGCAAAUCGAUCGUCAAACAUGGGCAUGGGGGCGAAAGA
rnacentral:rRNA from 1 species